GACGAACGCUGGCGGCGUGCUUAACACAUGCAAGUUGAACGAAGUAGCGAACGGGUGAGUAACACGUGAGAAACCUGCCUUUCACAAAGGGAUAGCCUCUGGAAACCGGGAUUAAUACCUUAUGGUGUUAGAUGGUCUCGCGUCUGAUUAGCUAGUUGGUGGGAUAAAAGCCUACCAAGGCGACGAUCAGUAGCCGGAAUUAGAGGACGGACGGCAAUACUGGAACUGGGACAAGGGGCAGAUUCCGAAGGGAGGCAGCAGUGGGGAAUUUUGCACAAUGGAGGAAACUCUGAUGCCGCGACGCCGCGUGAGUGAUGAAGAGCGUAGGAUGGUAAAACUCUGACCUUAGUGAAGCAGUAACUAAGAAGCAAGCCCUGGCUAAAUCCGUGCAAGCAGCGGAGUAAUAC
rnacentral:rRNA from 1 species